rnacentral:rRNA from 1 species
GAGUUUGAUCCUGGCUCAGAACGAACGCUGGCGGCGUGCCUAACACAUGCAAGUCGAACGGAUUUGAGGGGCUUGCUCCUCAAGUUAGUGGCGCACGGGUGAGUAACGCGUAGAUAAUCUGCCUGAUGAUCUGGGAUAACACUUCGAAAGGGGUGCUAAUACCGGAUAAGCCCACGGGGUCUUUGGAUUCUGCGGGAAAAGGGGGGGACUUUCGGGCCUUCUGUCAUCAGAUGAGUCUGCGUACCAUUAGCUAGUUGGUAGGGUAAUGGCCUACCAAGGCUACGAUGGUUAGCUGGUUUGAGAGAAUGAUCAGCCACACUGGAACUGAGACACGGUCCAGACUCCUACGGGAGGCAGCAGUGGGGAAUUUUGCGCAAUGGGCGAAAGCCUGACGCAGCAACGCCGCGUGAGUGAUGAAGGCUUUCGGGUCGUAAAGCUCUGUCGAGGGGAAAGAAGUGUAUUGUGGCUAAUAUCCACGAUACUUGACGGUACCCCUAAAGGAAGCACCGGCUAACUCCGUGCCAGCAGCCGCGGUAAUAC